rnacentral:lncRNA from 1 species
AUGGAAUGGGCUUUUCUUCACAAAAUCGGGGACUUCAGUCAGCAAAGUGGCGAGUGCGACAUAUGGGGUGGGUCGCCAGCCACCACCUCUUUGGAGAAUGCUGUUGAGACUGCCGAGGUCAACGGCGACACUAUGGAUUCUUGCAGUGAAUCGAGCAUAUCUGAGCAAACUGAAGAAAGUGUCAGCCCCCAGACCUCGAGUACCCAGACCCCACUCCAGAGACGAAGAGGCCAACUUCAGGCAAGGCUCGAUGGCCAUAGAAGCGAAAGGCUCCAGAAAAAACUUUGUGUGGAUCCAGUGCAGACCGACCUCGACAUGAAGAGGAAGAUUGUAGAUAUAAUGGAGAAGGCUGAGAGACGCAACAGUGCGAGGCUGGACACAAUUGCAGAGGCUCAUGUCAGAAUGAGCAACAGUUUUGAUGUCCUUGUGAGACACUUAUGUCAACCUCAACUAAACCGUGCCCCACCUAUGCAGUACUACACAGCGCACAUUCACUCACCCCACCACCCAUGGCCCCAGUACAUUCAUACACUACACCACCCAUGGGCUCCGCACAUUCAUACACUACACCACCCAUGGGCUCCGCACAUUCAUACACUACACCACCCAUGGGCUCCGCACAUUCACACACUACACCACCAUGAUCCUGUGUCUUGGUAGGAAAACUGAGUUCGACACAAUUUGUUUACAUUUUGUUGCACUGUUUUUGUUCAGUACCUGCCUAGUUUUUACUGUUUUAAGCACUUUAAGUUCAUUCUUUCUCACCACCAGGCAGAUGCCCACUAGUGGGCUACAAAGUGAUAUGGGCCACAAAGUAUGAUACAUGUGAAGAUAACUUUACAAACGCAUUUCAUGUUUACAUUAUCAUUUAGAUGCAUAAACCCAGUUAACCAUAUUUACCAGUUGUGGUAACCCGGUUCUCCCAAUGAGCCGGGUUCCACGUAUAAACCACGCUUGGCAGUGAGGGUUAAAGCCUCAUUCGGCAUUUAUUGCAUAUAUCUGAGACAAUACGUUACACUCGCGGACUCUGGGGCCUCCGUGGGCCUCUAGCCGCUCGCGGACCCGAGCGCUUCCGCCUUCCUCGCUCCCGUUCCUGGCCUCCCCAAAUGUCAGUCCUCGUGCUCCUUCUAACAUGGCUCCUCGGCUUUCGGCCAGGUGUCCCCCAAUCUCGCUGAUUGGGGUUCGGUCGGUGCUCUCCGUCGCCGGCUGGUGGGUGACGGUGGUAUCGGCCAUCCAGGACCAACCAUCGGGCUGGUCCGGGCCGAGGUUUAAGUGGCGGGAUGCCACACUCCUCCACCCUUUGUCCCAGCCUCGGGUAGACGGAUAGUGGGUGGCGGCGGUAUACGCCGUCCACGACUACACCUCUGACCCGCCUGGGCCGAGGUUUACGGGGCGGGAUGCCACACAGUUUAAUUUAAUUUUUAUAUUUAUCUGUUCUGUAAGUAUGACUAGGUUUGCCCUGAAGUAAAAAAAGAUGUGAGACUCUGUGCUUUGGUUAAUAUGGUACUUUAUUAUUCAUUGCCUUGUUUGUUUUUUGAUUUGACUAUUGCAAUAAAAAUCUAAGUAAAU